rnacentral:misc_RNA from 1 species
CAACCAAUCCAGCCCCGCUGGGUAUUGGGCGUCGCGGCCUGCCGCGCGCCUCAAAGUCUACGGCGGAAGCCGCCCGUUCCUCUGCGUGAUGACACAUCGUCGCUUGGGACACGGGGGUGAGCGCCCGGAAAACAUCGGCGGAGACGUCGAUUUCAAGG